rnacentral:tRNA from 4 species
GGGGAAGUAGCUCAGUUGGGAGAGCGUUGCCUUCGCAAGGCAGAGGCCGCCGGUUCGAUCCCGGUCUUCUCCACCA